CGGCCGUGGCUGCCCCUCACGGCCCCUCAGGCGCUGCCCCCCCCCCCGCGCUCCCUUCACAAAAUGGCCGCCCGGCGGGGCCGCGGGAGCGGCUCUGAGGCGACAAAAUGGCGGCGGGCGGAGAACGGGGGGAAGGACGGGCGAGGAGCGGUGUGGGCACAGCGGAGGGCUCUGAUCCUGUGGGAAUCCCCUUCGGGCAGGCGGCGAAAGCGCUGCGGGUGAAACCUGACCUUCUUCUUAUCCCCCCCUCCCUCCUGCCCUUUUCUUCUCGCCGCCUUUACGAAAGGAUGUGAGAAUAGCCAUAAAUGCGCAUUUUUAUUCGGCCAUGGCGGAGCCCCCAGUUUCUCCCUUCACCUCAUCUCCCCCCCCGCUCCCCAGUUAUACCCCUAAAAUGUUAUUUUUUUUUCCCCUCACAGCUGAGGGUUUUUGGCCCUGUAUUGCGCUUUCCACAUGCCCCCCACCCCUCCCUUCAUCAUCACCACACACACACUCCCAAGGUUCGUAGUUUUAUGCCUAAUUCUUCGCUUUUCCACCGCUUUUCUCCUUCGCAGGGGUUGAAGCCGCCAUCUCCCGGUCUCCUCACGGCAUGGAAAAUCCCCAAAAGUGCUUAAGGAAAAAAAAAAAAACAACACAAGAAAAAAAAAGUCCCAAACGCACGAGGAUUGAUUUAUCAUCGGAGCCGGAGUGGUAUGGGAAGAAGCCAUCGCUGCUCGCCUGCUCCCCAGGACAGCUCGCCCGCCAUUUGCUUAAUUAAAAUCAUAUAUUGGUGUGAUCAGACGUGAUAAUACCAUUAAAAAAACCCAAAUCCCGUAACAUCCACACGCUCGUUGUUGGAGGCUGUAGCCAAGGUACUAUGCUUUUUUUUUGGUUUGGUUUUUUUUUUUGUUGUUGUUGUUUUGCUAUUUUUUUGUUUUAAAUAUUCUUUUAAUGUUGCCUUACCCUUUUUUCCUGCAUCAGAGUGUUGUUACAGGCUAUAACAUUGCCCCUUAAUUCUUAAAAGCUACGUACCUGAAAAUACUAAUUUUUUUUUCCCAUAGAAUUGCAGAUUUAGGCCCAUGCAGAUGCUCUUUUAUUUCUACGGAUACAGAAAUACUUGUAUAUAUUUAUUAAAUAUAAAUAUAUAAAUACUGCUAUAUAUUUCAUAUUUUUAUAUAUAUGACCUUUUCUCAGGGAGUACUUAAAAUAUAAAAUAAGCCCACGCACCUAAAAACUAUAAUUUAAUUAUUUAUAAUCACUAUAACUUUGGCCCAAUAUAUCUUUGAUUUUAUAUAUAUAUGUAUAUAUAUAUAUAUUACCUUUGUUUUCCUCCAUUGGUUUCCUACUACCAUGUGUCCUAAAAGCAGGAGAAAAAAUGCCAUCAAAAAUAAAAAGAAGAAAAAGUAACAAAAACCAACCCAUCUCUUUUUUUACAGUCCAUGAUGGAAGUUUGUGCCUGAAUGUUUUAUUUGUUCCACAGAGAUGUAGAUUUUCCUUGGGAGAUUUGGGAAGGAUUAUUUUUUAAUGAAAAAGAGGAAAAAAAUACACCCAGGAAAAAAACCCCACCAAAACAAACAAUGAAAAAGAAACAAAAAGGAAAAAAGCACAGCAGAACCAAACCGCAGUAAGUGAAGCUGCAAAUGCAACCCAAUAGUCCGGAUCAGACAAUUCCCAGCACAAAAAAAGGAUAAAUGGAACUGCAAUGGCCGGCUUUGCUGUAGAUCCAGGAGGAGGGAUCAGCUCCUUUAUCCCACCAUCUCGCGCUACAAACACCACCAUUUUUUUUCCUCUCUCUUUUUUUUUUUUUUUUUCUUUAUUAAUACGCUUUUGUUGGGGCGUUUUGUUUCGAGCCGAGGCGGCUGCACCACCCCCUGAGCCGGGACUGCCGCAGCCGCUCGAGGGCUUCACUUUUACAGAGAUCUCUUAUUUUUCCCCGGCCUUGUGCAGUCCUCUCCCUUUUAUUACACGGGUUUGGGUUUUUUUUCCCCUCUCCCCUCUGCGGGUAUAAAGGUUUCUCUCCUCUCUCCAGCUUGGCUGCUUGUUCCAGAAGUUUCCACGGGGGCGGGGAGCCCCCACUGCGGCGCCUUUGCCGCAGCGCCGGGCAGGAGGAGGAGGAGGAUGCGGAGGAUGCGCCACCUCUCCCUGGCUGGGAGCCUCAUUCCAAGCCGCUCCCCCUUGCUCCGUUCCCCAGCCUUGAAAACAGCGCUGGGAGGUGUUUGCGUCUUGGAGGGGUUUGGGGAUUUUUUUUUUUUUUGUGGGUUUGGUUUUUUUUUUUCUUUUUUCCCCUCUAAAUAAAUGGAAAGCAGAGCUGUCACUGAUGGAGAUGGAUGAGGCAGGGUUGGCAGCGCCGCAGCUCUGCUCCGGCGUGGCCAUGGCACCGAUGGCUUAAGUGACCUUUCCCAGGCGGUGGGAGAGGGAAUUCCCCCUCCACCCCAGCAUGCUCCUGCUCGGAAUUAAUUUUAAAUAGCAGGAGUAUUAUUUUUUUAUUUUCCUUCCCCCCUCCCAUUUCUCCUUCGCUGUUUUGUUUUUGUUGGUUGGUUUUGUUUUUUUUUCCCGAAGCUUCCUCAUGAUCUUUUAUUUUUUUUUCCUCUGUGUGUUUUGAAUUGCAUUUUAAAAUUGCCCAGCUGGAGACAAGGCUUGAUUAGAGCUGGAACAAUAGCUCCCUUUUAUUAAUAACGGGAAGGAUUUACAAUCGUACAGCACCUUCCUUGGAAAGCUUUCCAAACCAUUUGCAAACACUCACAAAUUUCAGAUUGUGCAGCCCUUGGCUGUGAGGUGGUCCCUAAGUGACCUCCUGCAGCGCUGCCUCCACUGCAGUUCCAGCACAGCCUUGCACUGGAGCACUAAUGUGUGUCCCUGCGGGCCAGAGUGACCUUGCAGGGGGGACUGGGCCCACCGAGCUAUUCAGGUGCUCUGCUUUGAUCCCAAAUCCCUGCACCCCGUUUGUUUCCAGCACCCAGGGAGAUGCUGCAGUUACGGGUUAAAGCUGUUUCAUGCCUUAUUUUUUUCCUCUGGUUUGUUUGUUUGUUUAUUUUUCUAAGGGAAACAAUGUAUUGUUUAUGAAACCCUUCUCCACAGCAGAUCCCUGCAAACCAUGCAGGGAUCCAGGAGUCACCCAGGCAGUGGGAUCUGGCCUUGCCAGAAACGUGAGGGACAAGGCUCCAGCCAUGUCUGCAUGUGUCACACAUGGGCCACAGAAACCCACAGUGUUCCUGUGGUUACUUCUCUCUGCAGAGCAUGAGUGGGUCCCAGGGCUUCCCCUUCCCACUGCUUGCUGGUUCACAAAGGCUGAUGCUUCUGGAAAAAGCUCUGCCUUGUGGCCUUUAAAAUAAAUAAAUAAAGUGGUGCUGCUGUGGAUUAGUCAUCCUUAUUUUUGAAGGAAGCUGUUUGCCAGCGCUGUCCGAAUCACGCAUAUGCGUGUGAGAUGGGAACUCCAGAAGGCUGGUAGUGUGCUCUGCUCGCUGCUCCUUGGAGCUCAGCCACCCGGCCUUCGUUGAGCUGCUCCUGGCAGGUGGAAAAACUGACAGUCCAGCUUUCCAGACCUUUCCCUCCCUUUUUUUUCAGUGCUGGAAUCUGCAUUGGCAGGUGUGCAAAUGUGGAGAGUGUAACAGCAGCAAGUGAGGAUGGAUGAGCUGUUUUCUGGGGUCACAUCCAACUCCAGAGAAGAAACCCGGUGAUUUAUAAUUUUUUUCUUGUCUCUGGUAGAUAUUAUUCUGAGCUCCACUGUAUCUUGUGAGAAGACUGAGUUUGACCCUUUUGGCUACUAAAAAUGGUUCUGUUUUUAAACCUUGGUGCUUUUUCCCUUCCCUGUGGUCAUGCAGAAGAGCAAGCAAUGCAAUUAAACAGUACAGCAAAGGGCAGCUCCCUCCCCCUUUCCCUUUCAAAAAAUCCAGAGUUGUGUGUCUUGAACUGCUGCAUAGGCAGAAUACAUACAAAGCCCUUGUCAGCAUUGUGCUGAUGUGUGGCACGUUAAAAAAAAUACACACAAAAGGGGUGGGGAAAGUGGGUGCCUCCAGGGAGCAAAACUGUGGGGCCCCUUUCCCUCCAAGCCCACAGACAUACAUGGGAUAGUCUAUUCCUCCUAAUUUCGCUCAGGCAAAGGCAGUGGAGGUCGGAGGGAAUAUUGAACAUCUUAAAUGGCAUUGAUGAAGAUCAGGGUCCCCUUGAAUUACAUUUUUUUUUUCCUCUGUGAACUUGCUCCUGUGAGAUGCAGCUGGUUUAUUACUCCAUUCCUCAGAGUCCUGCUCACUCCCCAGGAAGAAGGGAAACGCUUCCUUGCUGGGUGUCCUUUCUUUUGUUGUGUUGCAAAGGUAAUAACCAGAGACCUGGUGCUGGUCUCUGCCAGGUCACACAUGGCUUGGAAGCGCAGCUUCCCGCAGUCAUUAGUGCACAGGGAGUGCUGGGGGUCGUUAGCCACUCUUAAUGAGGAUAUCACAUCGGUAUUCCAUGCAUGCCGCUGGCUGACCCGGCCCUGGAGAAGCCCCUUAGGAGAAAUUAUUUCACUGACUGGUUGCUGCAGGGAUUUCUAGCACAGCUACGGCUCUAUCCUUGGUUUUGGCCAAAAUUAAGUGCAGGGUGGGGAUGAGGUGGCCAGGCCAGAUUUCGUACUCUGCUCCCCGUGGUAGGUGUGUGAACAGUGUGCCUAAAGCCUUGUAUGGAACAAGGCAGUGUGGACAGGGAUUUGGAUUUUAUUCCCUCAUUAGGGCUGUGUUGGUUUGGAGAUACACCUUGUACUCUUCAUAGGCCUUUGCUGGCAGGGAGGUUGAGAGGAGCAAGAAGCUGCCUGCUGGGAUGAUUCCACAUUUUUCAGGCUGGCACACCCUGUGGGACUCUAAAUUACUUUCCUUUGGCAGUUUAGGAUAAACGACUGAGAAUUGCCUUGUGAGCACUGAACUUUUACCACCCUGAAGAGUUGCUCGAGCUACCUCCAUGAUAUUUCCAAGCUAAACAAAACCUGAAUUUCCAGUGCCAAGAAGCGAUACAAACCUCCACUCCUCUGUUCAGGAGAAAACCACAGACUUUCAAGCUUCGCUCUUAGCCCAAGGAGUUAAAAAGCUGCACUGUGAGAUCUGCAGAGGUGAAAAUAAAAGCCAAAGGCAGAUGAGAAACUUCUCCCAUGCCGUGUUGGAGGAGAGGCUUUAGAGUGCAGCAGGUGUUGAUGCACAAAUAUUUCUCUUUGUGCUUUCUCUGGAGUGAAGGAGUGGUAACUCCACAGCCAUGGGGUCACUCCUCUUCAUUUAAACACCCUCAUGUUGCUGUGGUAUCAAAAUGGUGUUUGAUGAAACCAAAGCUCAGAUGGUGGUGGCUCUGAGUUUAUUUUGUGCUGGCUGUGCUGCUCAAUCCAAUGUGGAAUGUGGGAAGAGCAGCCUGUAGCUUGCAGGUUUGGACUGUGGGGCUUGUGCUAAAGCCUUGUCCUGUAACAUUUCCAGUGUAAUUUCUGAGGCUUUUUUUUCUUCUGGGCAUUGCACACAGGUAAAAAUCACAUCUGGAUGUAGAGUUAAUACAACAAUUUGGUGUUAAAAAUGGCAAAGUAUAGGAUUCGGUGAUCUAACCAGUCCUAGGGGGUUUAUAUCCUUUGCAGUUGUCCUGUUUGGCUAUCAAAUCACAUAGAGCUCUUUUUUAUGGUUUUUUUCUUUGGUUUUCCCUUAAAAUGUGAUCUUUUGCAGCCUGGAUGGCCAUAGUCCUCUCUAGUGAUGAAAGCCCUUGUGUUUGAGGAGAACUCUAGUGAGGUGAGCAGACACAGCCCUCAGGCACGUGGUUGCACAGGAGUUUGGGGGCAAGGGGAAGCAGGGCAGAAGCUGGCAUUGUAAUAUUCCUGGGAUUCCUGGGAUAUUCCUGUGAUUUUUUUUUUUUCCCAACAACAGGCUAAAAAAAGGGUGUUUUUUCUAAUAUAUCUACCACACCAUAAGCAAGAGUCAACUCUUUUGCAGUCCUGUAGGUUUUGAUCAUGCGGCUUAGCCAUCACACUGGGUUCUGCUGCUGAAGAAACCUCUGGUUCUUUGUAGAGGGAAUUUUAAAAAGAGAAAUGUGCUUUUAUAUAGAGAUAAAAGAGGGUUCAAUGUCAACUGAAGUCCAGGGGCCCCUGUAUACUGGGCUGUGGGAUGUGGUUGGGUUCUAAGCCACUGGCUAAAAUGGUGACAUUAUGUGGCAGCUCCCGUCCCUGGCACCGUGGAUAAAAACACCGCAGGGAAGAGCAUCAGAAAAUAAAUUACUAAACGUUGCAUUUCAAAAACGUGAAGGGAGUUUUCUACACAGAGUCAUCAGGAAGAUUUGGAGCACUAACCCUCAAAAAGAACCAAAAUCAAGAGCUUUAUUAAUAUAAAUCCUGUGCUUUGUGUUGUUAAGGCUCCAGAACCCGGCUCUGUGCUCCAAGAGUUUUCAGCCCCUAAGCCCAUAGCCUCUGUCUUGGCAACAAAUGGGCCUAAAAAUCAAAUAGCACCAAUUCUUUCUUGGAGAAAAUGAGCAUAAAGCAGAAUGGGUAAACUAUAAAAUUAGGCCAAUAAUUCAGGCUGGCUUAAAAAGGAGAUAAAAGCCUAGCUGGGAAUUUGAUAUUCAGCUGUCAUAGUGUUCUUUUAAUAAAUACUAUCAAUGAGCAAGGAAGACAUGUAAAUACAUUUUAUCCUGGCAAGAUGGUGGCUGGAGCUGGCUGGCUCAAACAAAGGAACACUCUGAGUGUUUUUUGGGGCUCUUUGCUGAGAAACCUCCUGUUUUUUUACAGAAAGCAAAGGAACUGGCUGUGCACUGGUGGUGGGGAGAGCCCUUGUGUUCCUGCUCAGAUCCCUGUGAAUCCUGGCCGAUGUAGCCAGCGAGAGGUGUAGUGUCCCUGUUUCCCAUCACGCCACACAGAGAUGUUGCUGAGCCAGACCUGAGGGUAGGCAGUUACAGUCCGAGCCAACAGAGUCCUGGUUGCUGUCCUUGUUCAGUAUCUAAUCUUUACUUUUUGAAAUGUUUGGUGAGCAGUCUCAGCGAUGCAUGGCAGCUCUGCCGCUCGGGAAAGGCGCUGUGUUCAAAAUGGAAAAACCUGCCUUUUGAAGCAUUGUGUCUGCCCACUUCUAUUUAUUGUUUUUUCCUCCUCAAAGAGUGGCUGUUGUGUGGACCCGAAGGAUGUUUUCCGCUUCUCCUGACUUUUUUUUUUCCUUCAAACUGGAGAGCUGCUAACUUUAUUAGCUCCUUAUAUGGCAGCCCCAUUUUCUCACGCUUUUAAUGGCCCUCUUUUGAUCUGUCCUGUUCUUGCCUUGCUUUUCCUGGCAUGAACGUGGUGUUCAAGCUGAGAUGGGUUUAUAACCUGCUCCCUCACUAAUAAAUGGCCUGGCACUUUAAUCCUCUCCAAGCACUGAUAAGAAACAUCCAAAUGUUUUAACUGUGGGGCUGGCAGAGUUGUCCAGAGAUAGCCGGGCUCUCAGCUACACCCUCCCAGGAGUAAUUUAAAUUGUUCCUUGCAGUGUGUAUCCCAAAGGCCGAGGGCCAGGGAGAGCAGCUCAACUCUCCUUGUCCUCAGCUGUUUGGCCCCUGGGAAGGGCAGCACACAGGGCAAUGCAGCCAUGUCUCCCCCCUGGGUGCUCCUCAUGCUGUUGCUCAUGGCAGGACACUGGGCUGACACACAUGUCUGUCUGUUCCGCAGAGACAAAGAUGGUGUUGGUCUUUUGUCACAGCCCCUCUGGCCUGCUGAGGGGAGGGUUAUAGCUCUCCAGCUUGGGUCUGUGUUCUUUAAAAUCUUUGACUGAGCUGGGGGGAUCUGGUUACAGCAGCAUCGCUGGUGUGGUUGCAACUAGGAAGAGCUUCCCUGCAAAGCAUUUGAAGAGUGUCACCAUGGUCCAGAGCUUUGUUUUGCAUCACCAGCCGAGCUUUGUGCUGCUCUUCCAGCUGGCUGUUGUGUAAAUGGAGCCCUCCUGGCACUUGUCUCAACCCUCUCCUGUCAACAGAGUCGAUGGCUUUGUUUGUGACAGCUCCCAGCCCCUGCAUGUCCCGUGAGAUGGCCGAGUGACAGCAGUAACUCCAUGUGAGAUUCUCUGGAAGGACCUGGGAUCUGGAGUGGUUUCCUCGUGUCCCUUGGAGAUGCCACCCCAGCAGGGAGAAAGAACAGUUGGGAUUGCAGUUCCAGCAAGUGCACUCCAUCAGAGAGGGAGAAUUUGUCAUGGAAAAGCUGUUUGAUUUUUGGGCAGUUUUGGUUUGGGCUUUUCAUCUCCGAAAUGAAGACCCCCUUAAAGGCAGAGAUAUGUACAGACUGCUCCUUGGGCUUCCCUUCAGGUAAAAAAAUGGAAAGCUGAGCCCAGUUCCACACUGGAAACGCCGGUGGAGCGUGUUGGCAGCGCAUUUUCUUGUGUGCACGUGGCUCCAUCACACGUUUUGAAUAAUAGAUGGUUUGCGUGCAAGGAAUUGUUGGGGUUUUAAAUUAAUCAGUAGAUCCCAGUUUGGCAGAGCCCAUCAUCACUGGGGAAACUGAGGCAUUGGGCUGCCAAAGGAUGGGCUUGCAGCCACUGGAGUUGGGGAUAAGGCUCGGGGCCACCACAGCUCGAGUCCAUGUGCGUCAGAGAUGUGAUUAAAUCAGGAGAUUUGCAUGUUUGUUAAGCCACUACAGCUCGGUGACUUUGACCAGUAGCAAGGUGGACUUGUUGCCGGAAGGUUACGGUGUCUGGCCGGACUGGGUGGCAAAAGGCAGCUGUGACAAAUAAAACAUGGGGUUGAUCAAUACCAAAA